CCUACGGGCGGCAGCAGUGGGGAAUAUUGCGCAAUGGGCGAAAGCCUGACGCAGCGACGCCGCGUGAGGGAUGAAGGUCUUCGGAUCGUAAACCUCUGUCAGCAGGGAAGAACGGUCACUGUGCUAAUCAUCAGUGAAUUGACGGUACCUGCAAAGGAAGCACCGGCUAACUCCGUGCCAGCAGCCGCGGUAAUACGGAGGGUGCGGGCGUUAAUCGGAAUUACUGGGCGUAAAGCGCUCGUAGGCGGUAGGUCAAGGCAAGGGUGAAAUCCCCGGGCUCAACGUUGGAACUGCCUUUGAAACUGGCAAACUUGAGUGUGUGAGAGGAUAGUGGAAUUCCAGGUGUAGGAGUGAAAUCCGUAGAUAUCUGGAGGAACAUCAGUGGCGAAGGCGACUAUCUGGCACAUAACUGACGCUGAGGAGCGAAAGCGUGGGUAGCAAACAGGAUUAGAUACCCCUGUAGUC
rnacentral:rRNA from 1 species